AAAUCCUGACCUGAGCUGAAAUCAAGAGUUAAAUCCUUAACCAACUGAGCCACCCAGGUCACCAUUGACCCUUGCCCAUGGAGCCUCCCCUCCAUUCUGAACACUUUGAAUUCUGCCUUCACACCUUCGCAAGGGCUCAGUAACUUCGAGAGAGAGAAUGAGAGAUAGAAAGCACGAGAGGGAAGAGGGUCAGAGGGAGAAGCAGAC